GGGCCAUUUCUGACGCUAAGGCACGAAAGCGUGGGGAGCGAACCGGAUUAGAUACCCGGGUAGUCCACGCCGUAAACGAUGGAUACUAGCUGUUGGAGGUAUCGACCCCUUCAGUAGCGAAGCUAACGCGUUAAGUAUCCCGCCUGUGGAGUACGGCCGCAAGGCUAAAACAUAAAGGAAUUGACGGGGACCCGCACAAGCGGUGGAUUAUGUUCUUUAAUUCGAUGAUAACCGAAGAACCUUACCAGGGCUUGACAUCCAGGGAAGGUCUGCGAAAGUAGACUGUGCCUUUUGGAACCCUGUGACAGGUGAUGCAUGGCCGUCGUCAGCUCGUGUCGUGAGAUGUUAGGUUAAGUCCUUCAACGAGCGCAACCCUUGUGAAUAGUUGUAUUUUUCUAUUCAGACUGCCCCGGUAACGGGGAGGAAGGAGGGGAUGAUGUCAGGUCAGUAUUUCCCUUACGUCCUGGGCUAGAAACGUAAUACAAUGGCUAGUACAAUGCGCAGCGAAGCCGCGAGGUGAAGCAAAUCGCAUCAAAGCUAGUCCCAGUUCGGAUUGUAGGCUGAAACUCGCCUGCAUGAAGUCGGAAUCGCUAGUAAUCGCAAAUCAGCAAGUUGCGGUGAAUACGUUCCCGGGUCUUGUACACACCGCCCGUCAAACCAUGAAAGUGACCAACACCCGAAGUCCGAUUCGUCGGCCUAAGGUGGGGGGCAUGAUUGGGGUUAAGUCGUAACAAGGUAUCCGUACCGGAAGGUGCGGAUG
rnacentral:rRNA from 1 species